GAUGAACGCUGGCGGCGUGCCUAAUACAUGCAAGUCGAGCGAACAGACGAGGAGCUUGCUCCUCUGACGUUAGCGGCGGACGGGUGAGUAACACGUGGAUAACCUACCUAUAAUACUGGGAUAACUUCGGGAAACCGGAGCUAAUACCGGAUAAUAUAUUGAACCGCAUGGUUCAAUAGUGAAAGACGGUUUUGCUGUCACUUAUAGAUUGAUCCGCGCCGCAUUAGCUAGUUGGUAAGGUAACGGCUUACCAAGGCAACGAUGCGUAGCCGACCUGAGAGGGGGAUCGGCCACACUGGAACUGAGAAACGGUCCAGACUCCUACGGGAGGCAGCAGUAGGGAAUCUUCCGCAAUGGGCGAAAGCUUGACGGAGCAACGCCGCGUGAGUGAUGAAGGUCUUCGGAUCGUAAAACUCUGUUAUUAGGGAAGAACAAAUGUGUAAGUAACUAUGCACGUCUUGACGGUACCUAAUCAGAAAGCCACGGCUAACUACGUG
rnacentral:rRNA from 1 species